rnacentral:rRNA from 1 species
UGCAGUCGAGCGGAACGAUCCUAGCUUGCUAGGAGGCGUCGAGCGGCGGACGGGUGAGUAAUGCAUAGGAAUCUGCCCGAUAGUGGGGGAUAACCUGAGGAAACUCAGGCUAAUACCGCAUACGUCCUACGGGAGAAAGCAGGGGCUCUUCGGACCUUGCGCUAUCGGAUGAGCUUAUGUCGGAUUAGCUGGUUGGUGAGGUAACGGCUCACCAAGGCGACGAUCCGUAGCUGGUCUGAGAGGAUGAUCAGCCACAUCGGGACUGAGACACGGCCCGAACUCCUACGGGAGGCAGCAGUGGGGAAUAUUGGACAAUGGGGGCAACCCUGAUCCAGCCAUGCCGCGUGUGUGAAGAAGGCCCUCGGGUUGUAAAGCACUUUCAGUGAGGAAGAAGGCUUGUCGGUUAAUACCCGGCAAGGGAGACAUCACUCACAGAAGAAGCACCGGCUAACUCCGUGCCAGCAGCCGCGGUAAUACGGAGGGUGCGAGCGUUAAUCGGAAUUACUGGGCGUAAAGCGUGCGUAGGCGGCUUGAUAAGCCGGUUGUGAAAGCCCCGGGCUCAACCUGGGAACGGCAUCCGGAACUGUCAGGCUAGAGUGCAGGAGAGGAAGGUAGAAUUCCCGGUGUAGCGGUGAAAUGCGUAGAGAUCGGGAGGAAUACCAGUGGCGAAGGCGGCCUUCUGGACUGACACUGACGCUGAGGUACGAAAGCGUGGGUAGCAAACAGGAUUAGAUACCCUGGUAGUCCACGCCGUAAACGAUGUCGACUAGCCGUUGGGGUCCUCGAGACCUUUGUGGCGCAGUUAACGCACUAAGUCGACCGCCUGGGGAGUACGGCCGCAAGGUUAAAACUCAAAUGAAUUGACGGGGGCCCGCACAAGCGGUGGAGCAUGUGGUUUAAUUCGAUGCAACGCGAGAACCUUACCUACUCUU